UCUGAACAGUCUGUUGAAGAUUCUGAAGUGAAGAGAUGCCAAGAAGGAUGGAUUGAAUUCACUUGCAAAUAUCCAAAACAACAUGAAACAUAUCAAAGAAUUUCUGUAGUUACUCCCAAAAAAACCAUACAAAGCUGUGAGAAGGAUGUAUGGGAAAACAAAGGCAGAGUUUCCCUGUACCAUGAUACAAACAAUAAAAAUCUCAGGGUGGUCAUCAAACAACUUGAACCUGAGGACUUUGGGGACUACACCUGUAAAUUUACACGACGAGACUCAUCCAGUGACGAUAAAGUGAAACUGGAAGUUGAGACAGACGGCUGCCAGGGACAAUUUAUUCAAACUGCGUACAGAACAGCUAAAACCACCAUCACAUGUGAUUACACAGGAAACAAAUACAAGUUCUUCUGCAAACAGAAAGGUUCAAUCUGUGAGGAUAUUUUAUCAACAAAAUCCUCUCUGAAGUCAAAGGGGACAUUCACUCUCACAGAAACCAACAGUAGCUUUAGCAUGUCCAUCAGUAAGGUGUCCUCACAUGAUGCUGGUGUCUACUGGUGUGGAGUGGAAACACAUGAAGGAAGUUACAGAGCUGCUCUCAGAAAGAUACAGCUGGAGGUUGAAGAUAUUACUAACCUCACAAAGUCUCUAACUGUUGGACAGAAUCUUACAUACUGGUGUAAAUAUCCAAAUGGUGCUCUGAUAAACAAAUUCAUCUGUAAGGGAGAAGAUCCAUCUAUAUGUGAAACUCUAGUAAGCACCGCACAGCGCAACAAGAACACUGGGAGGUUUUCCAUCAAUGACUACCACAGGAAGAGAAAAAUCACCAUAACAGUGAGAGGAGUAACAACAGACGACACUGGGACAUACUGGUGUGGAGCAGAAAGCACU